UAGAGGUGUUAAAAGAUAUUGUGCUCCAUAUGACUAAUGGAAGAUGCUGAGGUUAUUAAUACUGUGAGAAAUAUUUUGUUAUAUAAUGAGCAUUUAUGAAAACUUUUCGUGUACUUUGUCAUAUCUGGGCUGAUCCUUCUGUAAAUUUUUUUUUGUAUGUUUGUUAGUUACAGGAAGUGACACAAUACAGUAAGCAUGCAGGGAGUUAGUUCUGUAACUAACUAGUAGCCACUGCAACUGAAGAGAAGAGAGCAGCAUUGCCAAGGAUUGUGGUAGAAAGUCAGUGCGGCAUCUGUUCUUGGACGGCCUUUUGAUGAGCGUUCCUGAAAAUCUGACUUCCCCCUACUUUCUUCUAAAUUCCUGGUUAUGCAAUCCCUUUUACGUUGAACCAAACAGCAGUUACAACUGAAAAAGGACGCAUACAAAUUGUGGCCACUCACUUCAGGGCUGACACUUGAAAGUAUAUCAAAGUAUCCUGCAAACAGCCUAUCAUGUGUGUAUAGAACUGUACAUUUCUUGACAAAAGCACAGCCUGAAGAACUCAGGACAAAACUCUUUGUGAGAAAGAAGAUCUUGCACAAACAGAACAAGAUGACUUUGGAGGAAAAGGAAACUAUGUACUGUCACUAAGUCAACACAAACUUAUCCAAGUGUGUCAUAGACUGAAGACAUAAUUCUGCACUGCCAACAACAAAAAGCUGUGCCUACAGCAGGUCUAUGGGUAAAGCCCUUCAUAUCCUCUUUACACCUGUGCCUUACAGAUCACUGCUUAUGUUACUAGUAUUUUUGUGUUUUUGCUAUGAAACUCUAGCAGGCAGAACUGAGAUUAGAUGUCUCCCUUUUCUUUUGUGUGAGAAUUGGCCUUACAGCAGCCAUGAAGAAGGUGCAGGAUAUGACCUGUCAGAACACAGCAGCAUGGUGCCACUCCACUGCUCAGUGGCAUAUUCAGCAUGGAUUACCAUAUGGCUAUACAACACAAUGGAAAUGAAAUAAAAUGAAUUACUACAUACAGGAAAAUCUAAGUCUUUUGUCUGAUCCACUAUGAUAAAAGGCAUAUCACCACAUCAAAGCAGUUGGAGAAAAGCUUGUCAUCCAAAGUUGUGACCAAGUGCUGUCUCUCAGGUUACCUCUUUCCAACCUUCCACAAUGCAAACCAUCUCUCUUUUUAGAGCAGUGAGAGCAACUUCACACAGCGAAAGGCAGCAUUAGGAUCACAUUUACUAAAAUUCCUUUUUUUUAAAAUCUUUCUUUAACCAAUUUCAGCUACGGAUCUAAAGAUGAGAUUCCCUACUGAGCUGGCCCUCUGAAUAACAGAUGAUUCAAGGAACUAAUCAUAGCUUGCACAUUAUUGCCAUCAGCAACAUAUGCACCACCAUAAGUACUAGCAAGACAGAAAAGCUUAAUAAAGCACAAUUGCAGCAUUACACUGAUAACAGGCUUGGAGCAAUUCCAUCGAUUUCAAAGGUCAGACUGAUAUUUCACAUAAACUGAUGUUUACAAUUUACGCCAUGAAUUCAGCACAAGAAAUGCAUAUGAAAGGAAGAAAAAAUAAUUACAGAUGUGAUUUUUUAAAAAAGUAAAACAAAACAAAUAAAUAAAAGAAAACAAACAGGAAAGGAGCCUAGGAAGGCACUGGAAAAGAAAAAUAAUAUUUAAAAAGAGAUGGGCAGGGAUAAAUGCAGGAAGGGCUGCUAAGGAGAGAGAAGAAGGCAAGACAAAAUCCAAAAGGUUUUUGCUUGUUGUAAAAACAAACACAGCAAGUUUGAUUUGGAUGGGGUACGCAAAAAAGCUCAUUCGGCACUGAUGCAAGAAAACUUCUUUGCAUGUGUAAGAUAAUGGUAAGAACAGAGCUGGAGCCCAUGAAAGAGUUACUGCAGCCAUGGGGCAGAGCGAUAGCAGGAUCCCAGGUUGGUGCAGUCACAGAGCUGUAGAGCUUAACACUGACCUGCUCCUAGCCACAGCUAAGCACAAAAGCCAGGUGAAGAGUUGCUGAAGGAGUACAACUAACAGGAAUGUAAUUAUUAUUGGGUCAGAAGCAUCACUUCCAUCUUCAGCUGAAUGCCAAGUGAAAGAGAAAGGUGGGUUCAGUAGAAGUGGCAAGAAAAGGCAGGAACUGCUGAUUUGCAGCACAGUGGUGGCUGAAGAGUAAGAUGGGGCAGAACAGGGAGAUGACACCAUGAACUUUGAGGCUAGCAACCAAGCAACAGCCACCCUAGGAGAAAGAACUAUUCUAAUAAACUGUUGACAGAAACAAAGUGAGGGACUACUGUAUCUAGCUAAAAAGAUGAAGAAGACAAAUCAACUCCUGGUCAUCACAACCAAUAUUCAAAGUAAACAAAACAGUGAGUUUGACUUAAUUCAUUACCCAUAAUAAUUUCUGAUCUUAAAACAUAUAGUCCUAUUUGCAUAACACAGACAAUGCACUCACAAAUUCUCACACUUCUAAAAACUGUUGACGAUGUAAGAAGACAUUCACUUUUUACUGUAAUGCGCACACACUAUGAAGAGUCUAUGACUGGAAUGGGUAUAGUAUUUCCAUUAAAAAACAGGCUGACAUAUAACUGCCACAGAUUUUUUUUCAGUGUGGUUUGGUGCUGAAUCUUUUUUAUCUGUAUGAGUUAGGCACUCAAUCUAUUGGAGUCUGAUUUAGUUUAUAAAUAUAGCCUAUCUUUUAAAAGAUAUGAUUUCCUUUGUGUCAUUCCAAACUGCUAAGUGAGAAGAAAAGAUCUCAAAAUCCAGUAUGGGUUUUCAGGGUGAUCAAAGAAGAUUAAAUACUUUACCAAAUGAGGUACACAGUACUGUUGGAUGCAAAUCUCUCUGCAGAUCACUCUCCAGACUCAGAGCUCCAUUUUUGCAAUGUGAAGUCAUGCACUGGCAAUUGACAGGCUUGGUGCCAUUGGCUCCAAAAAAUGAUUUUUUUGGAAUAAAGAGAAACUUGAAAAGGUUUAUUAGUGCCUGAGACACAUUCUGGCUACAUCACUACUAUAGUUCCCAAGUAUGUAGUCCCUUAUAGCAGUAACAUUUAUGGAAAUGCUUUCAUUCACCAAUUAUUUACUAUUUGGUUAUAAAUGUACUCCAAAACCUUAACUGAUUCAGUGUAAACUUCUCAGUUUAUUUUAAAAAUCACAUGCUAGAGCAAGAAACAUUUUUAUAUGAGUUGGCUUAACAAAGAACUGAGAUUUUUCCUGCCACUUCACCAAAAACAGAGUCCAGACAAGACUGAGUUACUGUUCAGCCAAAGCUAAGGGCAAGUUUCUACUGGCUUCACUAGAACUGAUGUAUGCCAAAAGCUAUUUUCAACAAGGGCCAACCUUUGUGCUGGGAACUGCACAGGCAUAUGCAUAUAAUAAAAAAUGAGUGCUGGAGGUUAACCUGCUCUUUUCUUGCCUCCCCCACAUCAUUCAACUGUGCUCCAGCUACUAAGCACAGGUAGGACAAGCCUAAACUUCAGCAACAAAAGGGAUCAAGACUAGACAAGGAUUUUAUACGUUAUAAUCACAUCCUGCCUCCAUAUUAUGAAAGUAACUUUAUCAUGAUCAGAGCAUUUAUCUGAGAGUAGGAAUAAUAAUAAUAAUAAUGUGUUCUAGGGUUGGAGUGAAUGCUAAACACUUGGUUUUCCAACAGCCAGUAUGUUGUUCAUGUGCAUCCAGGAAUUUAGACGUUUAUUGACAUUGCUGUAGUUGCACAUUUAUGCUGUUUUUGGAAUGCACACUUUGCUUUCUUGAAACAGAAAGCCAAAAAAUAACUAACGGUUUAUACUUCCUGAUCAUGGUCUUCAGACUGCUGAGCACUACUUAAGGUAAGAUACAAUGUCAUUUUGUCUAUACAUUUUUUACCCUAAAAAUCUGCAUCCAAUCUUGUUCUACGUAAGCAGUCAGCCUGGCUGCCCAUCUCUUCUGAUGAUGUGCCUUCAGCAACUAGAACAGAGCCUUGCUUCUGAGGGAUGCUGCAGUUCACACAGCACACUGCAACCACCUCCACCUUUCUGUCCUUCCUUGGGAGCCGCACAGGGCAACUCCUACACCCAGGCAGCCAGGAGCUGCCCUAGCUAAUGUGCAGCUUCUCCAUGCACUUUGGCUGAACGCACAGAUACAAUGAAAAGCAUUGUAAAAAUGUUAGAGUGGGAAUUUUUUUCCAUGAUUAUUGUGUCUGACACUUUCUUACUCAGAUUACAAGGAAAAAAUGAGAGGCUGUGCUUUAACCACCAAUCCUAAAACCUAAUCCUGGCAUUAGGGCUUCAUCUCCCCUUUUUCCAAGCAAGCAAUAAGCAGUCUCUUUGCCCCUGAUGUACAAUGUCAUGCUUCAAAAGCAUGCUUUGUCACCACGUUUUCCCAAGAGGGUAACAAGGUAUUCCUCUGAAUAGGAGGUGGUCCUCCCCUUUGUCCAAAAAUAUUUCAGUUUGAAAAUUGUAAUCUAUUGUGAUUGAGAAUAAAUUCCUAAGAUUACUUGAACGAACUUACCAGACAAUUUUUCUGCUUUCUACUCUCCUGUUUUGUUUAAACAAGAACGAAGCUGUAUGGAUUUGAAAACAUUUCUCCAGCAAGAAAAGCAGCAAAAGGAGCCCAGAUACAAAACCUGGGUGUAUAAGAUGGGUAUUUUCUAAGAAAAAUGCGGUGAGCAAAAGAAAGGUACAAAACAUGACCAUCAUUGUUCACAGAACUCUAGAAUCACAAAAUCGUUAGGUUGUAAAAGACCUCCAUGAUCACCUAGUAUAACCAUCCACCUACCACACUAAACCAUGUUUCUUAGAACAACAUCUCAUGUUUCUUGAACACCUCCAGGGACGGUGAUUCCACCACCUUCCUGGGCAGCCUAUUGCAGUACACCACCACUCUUCUGGAGGAGAAAAUUUUCCCUCAUAUCCAAUAUGAACCUUCCCUAGUGCAACUUGAAGUCAUUCCUUCUUGGCCUUUUGCUAGUAACCUGAAGAGAAGAAGCCAACCCCUACUGAUUAAAUCCUGAGCCCUGGAAAUAUACUUUUGUAAACAUGGCAAGCCUUUCUAUUAAACAAUCAAUCAAACAACAACAACAAAAACUCUGCCACCUUUGACAUUCUUUUUCAACUAGUCAUUAAAAAAAUAAUAAUGGCCAAGAGGUACAGUGUUCCUUGAAAGAAAAGCAGAAUACCUUGAAAGAUAAAACCAUGAUACAGUUAUAAAGAUAAGAGAUAAAAAUGACACAUAAAUAAGAAGUAUACAAACACAUCUAGGCAUUGCUAGUGAGCGAGUCCUGGUGGCCACUGUGGGUUCCCACUCCUUAUUCUUCCACAUUACCACAAGAACACAUUAUUCUACGAGCACAAAGGGUUUUACUGGAAGCCACAACAGUAAUGGGCCAUCAGAAUGUCAAGUAAUACAGCAGUCUGCCUUAGUACACUACAGUUCAUGCCUAUGCAAACUGUGCAGAGACAGACCCAAGACCUUCUAUUUAUGCACUGUGCAAUCUGUGAACGAUGCCACUUGGGAGAACUGAUGUUGGGUAUCAGCUGAAUAAGGCAAAGAGAGAUGAGGAAAAAGGAGAGGCCCUUUUCUACAGCGUUACUACGCAGUGUUAGGAAAGCUCUGACAGAAAAGGACAUGGUUGCAAAGGCUAGGAUGUGUAACAUUGAAGCCGGAUGUUCUGGUGUUGAACACUCUGCCAUGGCACAUGGGAUGGAGUUUUCCAGCAUGUGCGUAUGGGGUGUGCACGUUUCCAGAAUUAGGGAAUGAGGCAAGGCUUCAAGGAGAUACUCCUUACACCUCCCUGUGCCUACAAGCAUCUUCCUUAGCCUCAUCUCUCAGGGAGAUUCAGUGAUGUGAAUAUUGCACAACAUUCAAAAGGAAACUUUGAGAACAGAAACCUCAUACAGAUUCAUACAGACUCCAGUUUUUGAGAGUAAUGCAUAGAUCUCAUAGAGAAUUUCUUCUUUUUAUCAGAAAGCUGCACAUAGUGUUUCAGAAAAGGUGCUACAAAAAUAGUUGCUGGUGUAGCAGUUGGGGCUCACAAACACAUCAAAUUGCAGCCUCAAAUAUGACCUUGAAUGUGGGAGACUGCUACUGAGUACUCCGGAUUGACUUUGUUCCCAAGCCACAAUACAGAAUGAAAACAAGGACUGUAACCUUGAAAUUUUUCAUAACACACAAUUUUUUUUUGUUGUCCAAUUCUACUUGCAGCCUCUCCUUUCCAUGAAACUUCCUGCUUUUAUAGGAGAUGGUUAAAUUUGUUUGAUGCAACCCAUGACUGCAAACAAUGAGUCAAAGACUAUUUAGUUUCCGAAGCCAAUCUUUUCUGUCUCUGGCAAGUAAAAACACACAGGG